UUCAGAUUUCUUUUAUUAAAAAUAUAAUUCUUUUACUAGCUUUGACUUUAUCUUUGAAGUGGUCAAAAACAAAUUCCUAGAUUUACUAGGUUUACUAUCUAACUAGUUAUUAGGCCCGGGCAAUGCCCCGGGUAAGAAAAAUUUCAUUUAUUAAUAUUCUACUUUGAUAUGAUAUCACUAAAUACAACUUGGUCUAGUGGUUAAAACUUUAGUACAUGAACUUGAGGUCACGGGAUCAAAACCUAUACUAUGCAAUUUCUAAUUUUUUUUAUUGUACAUGGAUUACAUGAACUAAAACUCCCUAGGGAGAGCGCCAAAGUGGCACCAUUCCUGGUUUACGCACGCCUUUUAAUAUAUUAGUAUAGAUUAGAGUUGGAAAAAAAAAGGAAAAAAAAAGCAAAAGAAAAAAAGAAAAAAUACAAAUACCUAACCUACAGUAUCAUCACCAAUUCAUCACGACAUUUUUUCCUCCGCAAAACUUCAUCUUCUUAUUCUAUAUUUCACAUUCUUUUUCUAUUUUGUUUUUUUCCUCUUUAAUUCUUCCUUCAACCAUUAUUACACAUCCAUUGAUACAUCAUCUCCACCUUCAUCAUCUCUAGUUCGUUAGUUUUAAAAAAUAGGAAAUUUUUGGGUUAUUGGACUUGCGAUUUUCGGAUCAAGAGGUCGAGAUUGUUGGGUCUUUAUAGUGUAAUCUCACUUUUAUUACUUUUCCUAAUCAAGGACUUGAAGAUAGUUAGCGCCAGUUGGGUUAAAGAGUGCGUUGGAUCCCUUUUGGUUUAAUUUGGACUUUAAAAAGACUUCCGCUGUUAUUCAUUUGAUUAUAAGAUUUAUGUUCUGGUUUGUAAUAAUUAUUUUACAUUCUAUUUAGUUGGUCUGUAAUAAUUAGUUAAAACUUAUUGGUUAUUGUUUUAGUGAGAACCAUUAGCCUUGCGGUUAUUAUUAAUAAUUAUCGCGGCGUAGCACCUUUGGA